rnacentral:sRNA from 1 species
AGUUGUUUAAUCUUCGCCGUCAAAAACUUAAAUCGAA